UGCAUCACCCAGCUGGGAUCUCAGAGCCUCCUUUUCUGUCCUCCUCCAGGAUGGGGUCCACCGUUAUCCUCGCCCUCUUCCUGGCUGUUCUCCAAGGUGUCUCUGCCGAGGUGCAGCUGGUGCCGUCUGCAGCAGAGGUGAAAAGGCCCGGGGAGUCUCUGAGGAUCUCCUGUAAGACUUCUGGAUACAGCUUUACCAGCUACUGGAUCAGCUGGGUGCGCCAGAUGCCAGGGAAAGAACUGGAGUGGAUGGGGAGCAUCCAUCCUGGGACCUCUGAUACCAGAUACAGCCCGUCCUUCCAAGGCCACGUCACAAUCUCAGCCGACAGCUCCACCAGCACAGCCUACCUGCAGUGGAGCAGCCUGAAGGCCUCGGACUCCGCCACGUAUUAUUGUGUAAGAGGGACCAUCUAAAACCCCCCACGGUGCA